CCUACGGGAGGCAGCAGUGAGGAAUAUUGGUCAAUGGACGCAAGUCUGAACCAGCCAUGCCGCGUGCAGGAAGACGGCUCUAUGAGUUGUAAACUGCUUUUGUACGAAGGUAAAUCCCGAUACGUGUAUCUGGUUGAAAGUAUCGUACGAAUAAGGAUCGGCUAACUCCGUGCCAGCAGACGCGGUAAUACGGAGGAUUCAAGCGUUAUCCGGAUUUAUUGGGUUUAAAGGGUGCGUAGGCGGUUCGAUAAGUUAGUGGUGAAAUCCCGGGGCUCAACUCCGGCACUGCCUCUGAUACUGUCGGGCUAGAGUGUAGUUGCGGUAGGCGGAAUGUAUGGUGUAGCGGUGAAAUGCAUAGAGAUCAUACAGAACACCGAUUGCGAAGGCAGCUUACCAAACUACGACUGACGUUGAGGCACGAAAGCGUGGGGAGCAAACAGGAUUAGAUACCCUAGUAGUC
rnacentral:rRNA from 1 species